rnacentral:lncRNA from 1 species
UCAGUAGCUUCUAUCCUAGGAGUAGUUAUAACUUAGAAUAUCUAUAAUUAUGACUCCGUGUUAUAACUUUAUUCUUUUCCAAAUCUAUCUUCUUCGAACGAUGGUGUGAUGCUGAAAGAAAUUCUUGAAGGUUAAGGUAUGCACCUAGACCUACAUUGCUCUCUAUCCUUUCUUUGGUCACUAUUAUUCUAACUAAUUUGGUAUCAGUAUAUAGGAUGCCUACACACACACCA